rnacentral:rRNA from 1 species
UAGGGAAUCUUCCACACUGGACGCAAGUCUGAUGGAGCACCGCCGCGUGAGUGAAGAAGGUUUUCGGAUCGUAAAGCUCUGUUGUUGGUGAAGAAGGAUAGAGGCAGUAACUGGUCUUUAUUUGACGGUAAUCAACCAGAAAGUCACGGCUAACUCCGUGCCAGCAGCCGCGGUAAUACGUAGGUGGCAAGCGUUGUCCGGAUUUAUUGGGCGUAAAGCGAGCGCAGGCGGAAUGAUAAGUCUGAUGUGAAAGCCCACGGCUCAACCGUGGAACUGCAUCGGAAACUGUCAUUCUUGAGUGCAGAAGAGGAGAGUGGAAUUCCAUGUGUAGCGGUGGAAUGCGUAGAUAUAUGGAAGAACACCAGUGGCGAAGGCGGCUCUCUGGUCUGCAACUGACGCUGAGGCUCGAAAGCAUGGGUAGCGAACAGG